UUGCUGAUUUGGACGGAUGGCCUUCCACGUUUAACAGACGACAGAGAUAGAAGAUGACAUUGAGGUUCCACCCUUAACAAGAACAGACAGCGUAUUUCUGACCAAAGAAAUGCUUGAGUACCACGAAGAUUGGUUUCACUUUCCACUAACGGC